rnacentral:lncRNA from 1 species
GCGGCGCGGUGCGGCUGCGGCGGCGGGCCGGGCUCUCCGUACGCGCCGCCCGCGGGACUGCAGAGCCGGCUCCCGGCUGGCCGCGUGCACCCCGCCGCCCGCCACCGCGGUUCCGCCGGCGCUUGCGGUCACCCAGAAACAUGGAGGCUCCGGGAGCCCAUCGGGAAGGGCAACGUCACACCUGAGGACAGCCAGGAGGACUCCAGCUUUUGCUGAGCAUUGCAUCUUGCCUCCUUCCUUGCAAAGGCUCCAGACCCAAGCUCGGCUGUCCUCAAGUCCUGCGUGCCCCUGGCCAGGUGCCCCACUGCCCCUCCAGCUCAGCCUGGCCCUGGAGCUCACCUCCAGGACCUGGAGCCUGCCCUCCUGCCCAGAAUGACUCACCGUUAUUUCUAGCUCAAGUGAGAAGCCGUGAUGGGGAGUCAGGCUGCCUAUCUGUGUAUCUAGGAUUCCCGCAGCAUCAGAUCAGCUCUGCAAGGGAGAGUGCUUCAGAUUCCUGCCUUGCCAGCCAAGCGGGGCUGUCUCUCCGGGCCCUCAGAGAGCCCUGGGGGCUCUCCUGCAGGAGCCCAGGCCGAUGCUGCUGUAUUUCCUGGGGGCAAAGGCAGCACCCUGAGCUCCCUGCCACUGGGCAGCUAGAAGGCGUAGCACGAGG